UGGGGGAUCGUCUAGUGGUAGGACGCAUGACUCUGGAUCAUGCUACGGGGGUUCGAAUCCUCCUCCCCCAGCCA
rnacentral:tRNA from 1 species